rnacentral:rRNA from 1 species
AUUGAACGCUGGCGGCAGGCCUAACACAUGCGAGUCGGACGGUAGCACAGAGAGCUUGCUCUUGGGUGACGAGUGGCGGACGGGUGAGUAAUGUCUGGGGAUCUGCCCGAUAGAGGGGGAUAACCACUGGAAACGGUGGCUAAUACCGCAUAACGUCGCAAGACCAAAGAGGGGGACCUUCGGGCCUCUCACUAUCGGAUGAACCCAGAUGGGAUUAGCUAGUAGGCGGGGUAAUGGCCCACCUAGGCGACGAUCCCUAGCUGGUCUGAGAGGAUGACCAGCCACACUGGAACUGAGACACGGUCCAGACUCCUACGGGAGGCAGCAGUGGGGAAUAUUGCACAAUGGGCGCAAGCCUGAUGCAGCCAUGCCGCGUGUAUGAAGAAGGCCUUCGGGUUGUAAAGUACUUUCAGCGGGGAGGAAGGCGGUGAGGUUAAUAACCUCACCGAUUGACGUUACCCGCAGAAGAAGCACCGGCUAACUCCGUGCCAGCCGCCGCGGUAA